rnacentral:rRNA from 1 species
AUGGGGAAACCCAGUGUGACUCGUCACACUAUCAUUAACUGAAUCCAUAGGUUAAUGAGGCGAACCGGGGGAACUGAAACAUCUAAGUACCCCGAGGAAAAGAAAUCAACCGAGAUUCCCCCAGUAGCGGCGAGCGAACGGGGAGGAGCCCAGAGCCUGAAUCAGCAUGUGUGUUAGUGGAAGCGUCUGGAAAGGCGCGCGAUACAGGGUGACAGCCCCGUACACAAAAGCGCAUGUGCUGUGAGCUCGAUGAGUAGGGCGGGACACGUGGUAUCCUGUCUGAAUAUGGGGGGACCAUCCUCCAAGGCUAAAUACUCCUGACUGACCGAUAGUGAACCAGUACCGUGAGGGAAAGGCGAAAAGAACCCCGGCGAGGGGAGUGAAAAAGAACCUGAAACCGUGUACGUACAAGCAGUGGGAGCACCCUUUGGGGUGUGACUGCGUACCUUUUGUAUAAUGGGUCAGCGACUUAUAUUCUGUAGCAAGGUUAACCGUAUAGGGGAGCCGGAGGGAAACCGAGUCUUAAUUGGGCGUUAAGUUGCAGGGUAUAGACCCGAAACCCGGUGAUCUAGCCAUGGGCAGGUUGAAGGUUGGGUAACACUAACUGGAGGACCGAACCGACUAAUGUUGAAAAAUUAGCGGAUGACCUGUGGCUGGGGGUGAAAGGCCAAUCAAACCGGGAGAUAGCUGGUUCUCCCCGAAAGCUAUUUAGGUAGCGCCUCGUGAAUUCAUCUCCGGGGGUAGAGCACUGUUUCGGCUAGGGGGCCAUCCCGGCUUACCAACCCGAUGCAAACUGCGAAUACCGGAGAAUGUUAUCACGGGAGACACACGGCGGGUGCUAACGUCCGUCGUGAAGAGGGAAACAACCCAGACCGCCAGCUAAGGUCCCAAAGUCAUGGUUAAGUGGGAAACGAUGUGGGAAGGCCCAGACAGCCAGGAUGUUGGCUUAGAAGCAGCCAUCAUUUAAAGAAAGCGUAAUAGCUCACUGGUCGAGUCGGCCUGCGCGGAAGAUGUAACGGGGCUAAACCAUGCACCGAAGCUGCGGCAGCGACGCUGAUGCGUUGUUGGGUAGGGGAGCGUUCUGUAAGCCUGUGAAGGUGGCCUGUGAGGGUUGCUGGAGGUAUCAGAAGUGCGAAUGCUGACAUAAGUAACGAUAAAGCGGGUGAAAAGCCCGCUCGCCGGAAGACCAAGGGUUCCUGUCCAACGUUAAUCGGGGCAGGGUGAGUCGACCCCUAAGGCGAGGCCGAAAGGCGUAGUCGAUGGGAAACGGGUUAAUAUUCCCGUACUUGGUGUUACUGCGAAGGGGGGACGGAGAAGGCUAUGUUGGCCGGGCGACGGUUGUCCCGGUUUAAGCGUGUAGGCUGGUUUUCCAGGCAAAUCCGGAAAAUCAAGGCUGAGGCGUGACGACGAGGCACUACGGUGCUGAAGCAACAAAUGCCCUGCUUCCAGGAAAAGCCUCUAAGCAUCAGGUAACAUCAAAUCGUACCCCAAACCGACACAGGUGGUCAGGUAGAGAAUACCAAGGCGCUUGAGAGAACUCGGGUGAAGGAACUAGGCAAAAUGGUGCCGUAACUUCGGGAGAAGGCACGCUGACACGUAGGUGAAGUGAUUUACUCAUGGAGCUGAAGUCAGUCGAAGAUACCAGCUGGCUGCAACUGUUUAUUAAAAACACAGCACUGUGCAAACACGAAAGUGGACGUAUACGGUGUGACGCCUGCCCGGUGCCGGAAGGUUAAUUGAUGGGGUCAGCGCAAGCGAAGCUCCUGAUCGAAGCCCCGGUAAACGGCGGCCGUAACUAUAACGGUCCUAAGGUAGCGAAAUUCCUUGUCGGGUAAGUUCCGACCUGCACGAAUGGCGUAAUGAUGGCCAGGCUGUCUCCACCCGAGACUCAGUGAAAUUGAACUCGCUGUGAAGAUGCAGUGUACCCGCGGCAAGACGGAAAGACCCCGUGAACCUUUACUAUAGCUUGACACUGAACAUUGAGCCUUGAUGUGUAGGAUAGGUGGGAGGCUUUGAAGUGUGGACGCCAGUCUGCAUGGAGCCGACCUUGAAAUACCACCCUUUAAUGUUUGAUGUUCUAACGUGGACCCGUUACCCGGGUUGCGGACAGUGUCUGGUGGGUAGUUUGACUGGGGCGGUCUCCUCCUAAAGAGUAACGGAGGAGCACGAAGGUUGGCUAAUCCUGGUCGGACAUCAGGAGGUUAGUGCAAUGGCAUAAGCCAGCUUGACUGCGAGCGUGACGGCGCGAGCAGGUGCGAAAGCAGGUCAUAGUGAUCCGGUGGUUCUGAAUGGAAGGGCCAUCGCUCAACGGAUAAAAGGUACUCCGGGGAUAACAGGCUGAUACCGCCCAAGAGUUCAUAUCGACGGCGGUGUUUGGCACCUCGAUGUCGGCUCAUCACAUCCUGGGGCUGAAGUAGGUCCCAAGGGUAUGGCUGUUCGCCAUUUAAAGUGGUACGCGAGCUGGGUUUAGAACGUCGUGAGACAGUUCGGUCCCUAUCUGCCGUGGGCGCUGGAGAACUGAGGGGGGCUGCUCCUAGUACGAGAGGACCGGAGUGGACGCAUCACUGGUGUUCGGGUUGUCAUGCCAAUGGCACUGCCCGGUAGCUAAAUGCGGAAGAGAUAAGUGCUGAAAGCAUCUAAGCACGAAACUUGCCCCGAGAUGAGUUCU